AUUAAUGAUUUAGGCUGGGACUGACUUGUGAUUUUUGAACUUUUGGUGUCAGCAGCUUGGGGACGAUCACCAUCCUCUAGCUUCUGUCCUGCUCGACCAACACGGCUACAACCUCCACCCUUGUGUGUCUGUGAAGCAAAGAGCAGUGUGACCUUCAUGGCAUAAGAAGGGUUUCCUGAGGGCAAGUCACCGAGCUGGCAGCUGCGCUGAGGUCUGAACACGGGAUGCUCUGCGGUUCCUUCUCUCUGGUGGCAGCUGAGAAAUGCUGCUGGAGGAGAGGCUACAGCAUGCUUGAACCAUAGAGAAGCCAUGCGAAGGGCUAGGAUGCUGACCACAUGAAUAAGCCCGAGAGGGCUGCAGUAUGGACCACAAACCAUGAGAGAGGCCAGAGCACUGACCCUUUAGCUAGGGCAGUUACGGUGGAAAGCCAAAAAUGGAAAUGAGCAAAAAGCGGCUCUGACAUCUGGCCAUUUAAAUCUUACCUGCUUGAAGUGUU